rnacentral:rRNA from 1 species
CAGCGCCACGAGUGGGGAUCCUGUUUAUUUGGCCUAAAGCGUCCGUAGCUGGUUUAGUAAAUCUUUUGUGAAAUCGUUGGGCUUAACCUAACGGCAUGCAGGAGAGACUGCUAGACUAGGGACCGGGAGGAGUCAGAGGUAUGCUGGGGGGAGCGGUAAAAUGCUAUAAUCCUCAGUAGACCACCUAUGGCGAAGGCAUCUGACUAGAACGGGUCCGACAGUGAGGGACGAAAGCCAGGGGAGCAAACCGGAUUAGAUACCCGAGUAGUCC